AAGGAGAUGAUGGUAAACCAAUUCUGGAUUUGUACCAAGAAAACUAUGGAUCCAUUACCAGAAUGAUGGAGGUGGAGUAUUCUGGAAGACAUGUGUCUGUGGAGUCGUUAUGUUCCAGAAAUGACAGCCAAUGAUAAGGCAGGCUACAAGCUUCCUGUCAAGGAGUGGCUACCUCAUCCCAGUGUUCUGGAGGCCCCUUUCCUCUGAGCUACUUGUGAAAACUCAACACCCAGGACAAACCUUUUGGGAGACCCAAUCUUUUGUUUCUUUUAAAUGAAUUCAUUCUAAGAGCUCCCUGACUAGGAGUGAUGAUCUAUCAGCUGUGAAACGCAAAUAGGAACGGCACCAUCUCCUCAAGAAGAAGACUAAAGUCUUGGACACGGGUUUAAAUUGGUGACAUCUCCCAGACUGCAUCUGAUUCUGCCACACGUCUGCUGUGUGACCUUGAGCAAACUGCUUCACUUCU